rnacentral:lncRNA from 1 species
AUACCAAAUGCUGGGAUUCUGCAAUGAAAAACUUCGAAUCAGAUUUUUUACUGUGAACUCGUGUGCUCAACAGAAGCUGACACAAUCACAAAAAAGAGAAAAACCAAACUGAAAAUAUACGGGUAAAAGAAGAUUUAUUAAAUAAAAAAGGAUUACACAUGAUUCCUUUUCUACAACAGAAUAGCUACAAUCUGAGCACUCUUUUUGAAUCUCUCAUAUCCUUCUCUCUUCAUCUAUAAAUCCACAUAUGAAGACAACUCUCUUUUCUCUCUCACAUACAUCCAUGCACUAA